GACGAACCGUGCGAACGUUGUUCGGAAUCACUGGGCGUAAAGGGUGCGUAGGCGGGUCUUUAAGUCAGGGGUGAAAUCCUGGAGCUCAACUCCAGAACUGCCUUUGAUACUGAGGAUCUUGAGUACGGGAGAGGUGAGUGGAACUGCGAGUGUAGAGGUGAAAUUCGUAGAUAUUCGCAAGAACACCAGUGGCGAAGGCGGCUCACUGGCCCGUAACUGACGCUGAGGCACGAAAGCGUGGGGAGCAAACAGG
rnacentral:rRNA from 1 species